GGAUGACAGGAAUCCUGGUGUGAACGCCUUCAGUGGCAGGGAACGCGGGGUCUCCUCUGACUGUGAGCACCCACCCACCACCAGACAGGGCCUGCUUCAGGACUGGAAGGGUCCACGUCCACUGAUGGUUCUGCGCAGAGAAGGAAAGGGGAGUCAACCCCUCUGGGGCCUCUUCCAGCUCCAAGAUUCUGGAACAUGUCCCAGGUUGUCACAACAAAGGAUUCACAAAGGCUGUGCUGAAGCAUGCCCCGGGGUACACCAGGAGCGCUUUGAGGAGGGGCAGAGCAACCAUCACUGCCCAUGUCAGAACCAAGACACCAUGCACCAAGAGGAACCUCAGGUGCAGUGCGGGAACAUGAGACAUCUCCUUCCUAUAGUGAGGAUGUCUGUGCAUCUGCGGCUGAUAGGCACUGCACAUGUCACAGUAAACAUGUGUGAGGUAAACCAUGACUCUGCGGUGCCUGACACUUUCGGCUCUUGUCCAUGA
rnacentral:lncRNA from 1 species